rnacentral:rRNA from 2 species
UGAUGGAGCACGCCGCGUGAGUGAAGAAGGGUUUCGGCUCGUAAAACUCUGUUGUUAAAGAAGAACGUAUCUGAGAGUAACUGUUCAGAUAGUGACGGUAUUUAACCAGAAAGCCACGGCUAACUACGUGCCAGCAGCCGCGGUAAUACGUAGGUGGCAAGCGUUAUCCGGAUUUAUUGGGCGUAAAGGGAGUGCAGGCGGUUAUUUAAGUCUGAUGUGAAAGCCUUCGGCUUAACCGGAGAAGGGCAUCGGAAACUGGAUAACUUGAGUGCAGAAGAGGGUAGUGGAACUCCAUGUGUAGCGGUGGAAUGCGUAGAUAUAUGGAAGAACACCAGUGGCGAAGGCGGCUACCUAGUCUGUAACUGACGCUGAGGCUCGAAAGCAUGGGUAGCAAACAGGAUUAGAUACCCUGGUAGUCCAUGCCGUAAACGAUGAAUACUAGGUGUUAGGGGGUUUCCGCCCCUUAGUGCCGCAGCUAACGCAAUAAGUAUUCCGCCUGGGGAGUACGACCGCAAGGUUGAAACUCAAAGGAAUUGACGGGGACCCGCACAAGCGGUGGAGCAUGUGGUUUAAUUCGAAGCUACGCGAAGAACCUUACCAGGGCUUGACAUCUUCUGCUAAUCCGAGAGAUCGGACGUUCCCUUCGGGGACGGAAAGACAGGUGGUGCAUGGUUGUCGUCAGCUCGUGUCGUGAGAUGUUGGGUUAAGUCCCGCAACGAGCGCAACCCUUAUGAUUAGUUGCCAGCAUUAAGUUGGGCACUCUAAUGAGACUGCCGGUGACAAACCGGAG